UUAAGUUCAGCGGGUAGUCCUACCUGAUUUGGGGUCAGAGUCAAAAAUUGCCCGAGGGCGAUUGUAAGCAGUCAUCACAACCUUCACCGACGAAACUUAUUACGCCGACUACGGUGCUAUCCCGCUAAGUCUUUUAAGGUGAGCCACAGUAACGCAGCAACACCCAAGUCCACCGCUCCCGAUCCAAACAAUCGGAAGUG
rnacentral:misc_RNA from 1 species